UCGGAUUGCAGGCUGCAACUCGCCUGCAUGAAGUCGGAAUUGCUAGUAAUCGCGGAUCAGCAUGCCGCGGUGAAUACGUUCCCGGGCCUUGUACACACCGCCCGUCACACCAUGAGAGCCGGGAACACCCGAAGUCAGUGACCUAACCGAAAGGAAGGAGCUGCCGAAGGCGGGGCAGGUAACUGGGGUGAAGUCGUAACAAGGUACC
rnacentral:rRNA from 1 species